CUGAAAAAUAGUGCUACAGAGAACAUCUGCUCCUUCCUCCUACUUGUUAUCUAUCCCUGUUCUUCAGUUUACAUCAUCCUAAUUUUCCAAGGGGAAGCACCCUCCCUCAUUCUUACUUCAUAGAGAGAGGUGGGCCCCUGGCCAAGUAGCAUAUUACAUCCCUUUAACCACAGAAUUGGUUCAGGAAGGAAGAAUCUCAGUAAUUUCCAAUGAGCUCAGACUUUGCUAGGCAAAGGAAUGCUUUUCUUUCCACAGGGUUUUGAGACAAGGAAAAUGGAGUUUUUUCCUGCGAUUCCCCUCCCCCUUCCGAGGAGCUGCUGUGAAGUUAGAAUGUGAACCUGUGGUGGCUGUUGGAACCAUCAAACCACCACCAGGCAGGGCCUGCCCGUGGGUGAGACCAACCCAGAGGAAGUGCAUGAGGACAGACAGAACAAGUAUGAGCCCAGAUGAUAUCAUCUGAGCUCCUGCAUCCAGUCAUGCCUAAGGCCUAACUGUCCCAGGAAUUUUAGUUAUAUCAGCCAAGAAAUUCGCUUUUUCACUCAAUCCAAUUUGAUUAGGAUUUCUAUAACUUGCAAUCAAGAGUCCUGACUCCUACACCAUCUCAUUGGACGAGCUCAUCUGCUCCCGAACCUAUGACCCCCAUCGAGACAGGACAUCAGUAGGCAUCUUUGACAGGUGAAACAAUUGAAUUUUUAUGACUAAACAUGGAAUACCAUUUCUGCUGGCAGUUUUAGUGUCAUCUAGCCUUGUAAAACAAUACAGGCACCCAAUGACCAGAAGUCAAGCCUGUGUGUUUCCCAGGAGUACGAAGUGUCUUGAUGACAUAAGAUUUACAAACUUCAGAGGGAGACUUAGGUGGGCCAGGAAACAAACACGUAACUCAUCAUUUUGUACUUUCAGGGUCUCUGAACCUCUGACACAGUCUCCUUACACUCUUCUUUGCUCCAAGGUUGCACUUUCAAUGGCAAAAAAAUUACAGUAGUCACCAUUGACUUUUAAAAAUUGAGAUCUAAUUUACAUACCAUAAAGUUCACCCUUUCCAAGUUAAAAUUUAAUAGUGUUUGUAUAUUCAUAAGGUUAUGCAGCUG
rnacentral:lncRNA from 1 species